UAAGACGUAGGGGGCCAGCGUUGCUCGGAAUUACUGGGCGUAAAGGGUUCGUAGGCGGUGCGGUAAGUCGGAAGUGAAAUCUCUGGGCUUAACUCAGAGGCUGCUUUCGAAACUGCCGUGCUGGAGUGCGGGAGAGGCGAGUGGAAUUGCAGGUGUAGCGGUGAAAUGCGUAGAUAUCUGCAGGAACACCCGUGGCGAAGGCGGCUCGCUGGACCGCAACUGACGCUGAGGAACGAAAGCUAGGGGAGCAAACAGGAUUAGAUACCCUGGUAGUCCUAGCCCUAAACCAUCAGGACUUGGGGUGGCCCGCGUUGGCGGGUCGUCCCGGAGCUAACGCGUUAAGUCCUGCGCCUGGGGAGUACGGUCGCAAGGCUG
rnacentral:rRNA from 1 species